GAGAGUCCCGUCCAGCCUAAACAGGAUGUUCUCGUACGAGAUUGUUUCAACCGAGUCGGGUAGCUUGAGAAUGCUGCUCUAACUGUGGGUAAACUUCAUCAAAGUCUAAAUACUGGUGGAAGACCGAUAGCGAACAAGUACCGUGAGGGAAAGAUGGAAAGCACUUUGAAAAGAGGGUGAAAAGCACCUGAAACCGUCACGGGGGAAGCGGAUUGCGUAAGUGUGGUGUGGUGUCUGUUCAGCUGCUUUUUGUUCAAAGCGGUGUAUUCAGCACUAGCCGUGUCAGAGUGGCUGCUCGGUCCCAGAUUAUGUGGGACUGUGGUGGUGAGGGCUCCCAUUUACUUGGUUGAGGACUUUGACGAAAUGACGCGACCCGACCCGUCUUGAAACACGGACCAAGGAGUCUAGCACAGCUGCGAGUCGAAGGGUGUGGAAACCCAUCGGGCGAAGUGAAAGCAAACAAAUUAUAACAGAUCUUGAUACAGAUUGGGGAGGUGUGGCGUCUUUGACAAUAUAUCCUACCCAGAGCAGUUGUGCUGGGACCCGAAAGAUGGUGAACUAUGCCGGAAUAGGGCAAAGCCAGAGGAAACUCUGGUGGAGGCUCGUAGCGAUGCUGACGUGCAAAUCGCUCGUCGAAUUUGGGUAUAGGGGCGAAAGACUAAUCGAACCAUCUAGUAGCUGGUUCCCUCCGAAGUUUCUCUCAGGAUAGCGGACCGAUGAUGUGGGUUGUUUUGUGUGGUAAAGCGAAUGAUUAGCGUAUUUGGGGGCGUAAUGCCUUCAGUCGAUUCUCAAACUUUAAAUACGCAAGAAAGAGGUUGGUUGCUUGGUUGAACCCCUCUCUGAAAACAUCGGUCUUGUGGGCCACUUUUGGUAAGCAGAACUGGCGAUACGGGAUGAACCGUAAGCGUGGUUAAGGCGUCAAAUUGUUCGCUUAGAGACCCCACAAAAGGUGUUGAUUCAUCUAGACAGCAGGACGGUGGCCAUGAAGUCGAAUCCGCAAGGAGCUAAGGAGUGUGUAACAACUCACCUGCCGAAUGAAUUAGCCCUGAAAAUGGAUGACGCUAAAGCGUACAGCCGACACCGCGCCGUUUAGGCAAAAAGCGACCUAAAUGAGUAGGAGGGCGUGGCGGUCUUGUGACGAAGGUCGAGACGCGAGUCUGACUGAAACGGCCGCUAGUGCAGAUCUUGGUGGUAGUAGCAAAUAUUCAAGCGAGAUCCUUGAAGGGCGAAGCGGGGAAGGGUUCCACGCGAACAUUGAUUGGGCGUGGGUGAGUCGUUCCUAAGCCGGGUGGUAAUCGUUCUUCGAAACGGCGAAAGGGAAGCGGGUUAAAAUUCCUGCACACGGAUGUGGAGGCGGCAACGCAAAUUGAGUUGGAGACAUCAGCGGUAGCGCUAGGCAGAGUUUUCUUUUCUGUUUGACCUGUGAGUUGCACUGUGUGGAAUCCAAUUAUUGGGAGAAACACGCGCCGAAGGGCAGAGCGUCGGGGCGUCCCCGGCGUCUAGCACGCUACCGAUGGUCCUUGAAAAUCCAUCUGCAAUAGAAUUUCACGCCGUGGCGUACCGAUAACCGCAUCAGGUCCCCAAGGUGAACAGCCUCUGCUCAAUAUGAACAAUGCAGGUAAGGGAAGUCGGCAAAAUAGACCCGUAACUUUGGGAAAAGGGUUGGCUCUAGUGGAGUGGAGGAUUCUUGUUUACGCAGGAAAUGGAUGUUAGCGUUCUGAGCUAUUGCAGGCCUGGAUGUGGCUAGUCUGUGCAAACGGUAUUGGCUGUGUCUGGCUGGCUUUGGUUCUGGGGUGUUAGUGUCCGCCUUCAGCAUGCUCCAGACUAGAACUGCAACGGGCAAAGGGAAUCCGACUGUUUAAUUAAAACAAAGCAUUGCGAUGGCCGAGGUCGGUGUAGACGCAAUGUGAUUUCUGCCAAGUGCUCUGAAUGUGAUUGCAACGGGCCAAGGGAAUCCGACUGUUUAAUUAAAACAAAGCAUUGCGAUGGCCGAGGUCGGUGUAGACGCAAUGUGAUUUCUGCUCAGUGCUCUGAAUGUCAAAGUGAAGAAAUUCAAACAAGCGCGGGUAAACAGCGGGAGUAACUAUGACUCUCUUAAGGUAGCCAAAUGCCUCGUCAUCUAAUUAGUGACGCGCAUGAAUGGAUUAACGAGAUUCCUACUGUCCCUAUCUGCUUCUAGCGAAACCACAGCCGAGGGAACGGGCUCGGCGAAAUCGGCGGGGAAAGAAGACCCUGUUGAGCUUGACUCUAUUCUAAUUUUGUGACGCAAGUUAGGAGGUGUAGCAUAGGUGGGAGCUUUCGGGCGACAAUGAAAUACCACUACUCUUAAUCUUGUUUUACUUAUGGCGUUAGACUGCACGACCUAUAUGGUCUUUUUUGGCAUCAACCUGGGAUUCUGGCGUUUGGUCUUUCGGGGCCUUUCGUCACCAGGGAGCAGCGCGCCUGACACAUUUAGGAGGGGAGUUUGGCUGGGGCGGCACAUCUUCUACAAGACAACGAAGGUGUCCAAAGAUGAGCUCAGUGAGAACAGAAAUCUCACGUAGCGCAAAAGGGUAAAAGCUUGUUUGAUUUUGAUUUUCAGUGUGAGUUGAAAACACGAAAGUGUGGCCUAUCGAUCCUUUCAUGAUUCGAGGUUUGAAGCGAGA
rnacentral:rRNA from 1 species